AUCAAAGGAUUUUUACUCUAAGAAACUUCUGCAAAUAAAAAAAAAAAAAGAGUUUUCAAAUAGCCAGAUAACCGAAGAGAUGGUGUUGUGGAUUUCCACUUCGGCAUCUGAAACUCAGAGUUUUAUCUUGACUACUGAGUAAUGUAACAUAUUUUAUAGAUAAAUUUCCUCUAUUUACAUAAUAUUGAGGUCUCUUUCUUUCUUUUGUUAUCUUACCGUUUCAUCAAUAUAUAUAUAUAUAUAUAUAUAAAACUCUAGUUGUGUGAGUGUCUGUCCCCUUCGAUUUAGAUUCCUAACUUCUCCCACAUUUUGCGGUGCAGUUUAACCAAAUUCGGGUUAUCUUAUAGUCGUGAUUCAUAUCGAGCCCGUCUGACUAUUAGCGCGCGUCAACGAUGAGUCUACGAUUUAAAAAAUAAUUUAACAUAUAUACAUGCAUAUAUGGGUACGGGACACCAAAAAAACGUCGAACACAAUGAGAAACGAAAACAUAAACACAAAACCAAGGAAAUGGACAUUUUUCUGAAACAAAGAAAAAAUCGAGUACAGGACAUAUAACACAAGGAAAAUUCUCCUUCCUCAGUCACCUCUGUUUCAUCUACAAAUCAAGAAGCUCCAGAAAUGCAGGAUCACCCUGACCACGAGCACUCUCCCAAAUGUUCUUCUCCAGUCUUGAAGUGCGUACAUUGAGUAGGUCCAUUGCUAAUGUAAAACUUUCAUCGACUGCAUUUCAAGACUAGUAGAGGGCUGAGAGCGCCUGACGACAUUCCUGGAGCCAGACACGUAAUCUUGGUUUUCUCUUUACACAGAACUGCAGCUCCGUCAAAGAGAUGAGAUGCGUUUCUUACAAAUGAAGCUUACACGGACUCACUGUCCAGGAAAGUUUUUAUGCAGCAUAACGGCAGCGCGUGCACGCGUAUAAGAUGCCAUGGCAGGAAAAAGACCCGCCUUCUUCCAGAGAGCGUUAGCAAUAGAAGGACUGACCACUGACCACUGGAACACAUCGUUUCCACAGGAAACGGAAAAGUAUGCGCUCCAGUCUGAUGGAACUUCGAGAGGAACAGGGACGACGGUCAGUUGAUAUUUAUUACCGAAAAAAUGUAGGAAUUCAUUACCUUUGCUUUACCUCUCAGGGAUAGUUUCCUUUAAGCCCAUUUCUGAGUAAGGUUGCGUUUACGUUUGCGCAGAUAGUUAUACAACUUACGGAAAAAUAGAAUGGAACAGACAGGAUAAUACUAGAGAGGAGAAGCAUGAAGAAAAUAUAGUCAUUGAGAGGUGACAGAAGGUGUCACGAAAGAACUAUAACAAAUAAACUAAUAAUAAAGUGAAGUUCAAAUAAACAGUGCGUGUGUUUAUUGGCAAUAUAACCUUCCCGAAAUAUAGCAAUAACUUUUCCAACACACGAUAUCUCAUGAAGAUACUUGCAAAACACCUACUUAGAUGUGUGUGUGUGUGUUUGUGUGUGUGUGUGUAUAACCGAUUUUGUCAUCGCGAGUGUUUGGUGGUGUACGUCUUCAUGCAUACACAUACAUACAUUAUGUGGUUAAAUGAGUAACUGUUUUUAAUGUAACAGCGGCUGACGAAGCAAAUGGUCAUUGAUACAUUUCGAUAUUCUGCAGCGAUAGUCUUGGAAUAUUGCAUACUUCCAUUCAGUGAUAUAGCUGAAUCUCAUUCCAUCCGUUCAUGUUAUACACAUACGAAGAAAAUAAUAGCCCCGAGUGCCUGUUCAGAUCCUUGACGACACUGACGCCGUCAACUUUCGAAUAUUUCACCUUAGAUGAACAAAAGUUUUACUGUCUGGGUUCUUGUGCGUCGCUUUUUCCCUCGUUCACCCCACCUCACAUGUACACACACACACAUACAUACAAAUAUACUUACACACAUACAUAUAUUUAUAUAAGUAUACAAAUAUAUGUGUGUGUGUAUAUUUGUGUGUGUGUGUUUGUGUACGUCUGUCUGUAUCUAUGUGUGCAUAUAUAUUUGUAUGUAUGCAUACAUAUUCAUAUACGUAUUAUAAAAUCGCAAACAUACAUACACACAGAUAUAAACAUAUUGAAAUGUAAACAAAUAUACUUUUUGAAGUUCUUCUGAAUUUCUGAAUUUACUUAUAGAUUUCUUGAUCGACUUUACAGUGACUAUUGCUGUUCUUCCUCUCUUUCUUUAACUGUCUCCAUCUGCCUUUGUUUUCAAUAUCCUGUUGUUUCCAAUAUCUAGCGGCGUUCGUCCAACUACUACUAUUUUUAUUUUGUUGUAAUAGUCGCCAAUACAUGAAAAGUUUUGCGAGAAUUUUCUUUUUUUGAAGAACGUCUGGUGUUUGUCAAAGUGCGUACGUAUACAUAUGAAUGUGUAUUUUUUUCAGGUGUCUGACUAAGUGUUAUGUGUAUAUGCGUGUACGCGUAUACAGGUAUAUGUGUGUUUAUUUUCGUUUUGUUGUAAUUUUGAGGCAACGAAAUCCAUAUGUUGAUAAACAAAACAUUUUUAUAUAUACACAAGUUCUUUGAUUCUGGUCAUCAUUUGUACACAAAUUGUUUGACUCUGCGACCCCAGAAAUAAGAGGGAAUCUGUUUUGUAUGGCAUCUAGGAUGCCUCUGGUUCAUGGAGAGAGUGGACAACAUAAUUUAACAACAGAAUCUGACCCACGGUAACUUCGAGUUAAUAUCGCUUAGUCUGUUGCAUGCAUUGAGACCACAUUCCUGACAGGUGGGAGACUACUUCCAAACGAUACACCGAUUAUUUCACUCUCUUCUAAACACCAGUAACUAUAAACAAACUCGAUGGAUAUUUCUUUUGCCUUUUUAACAUAGCAUUAUGAGCCUUGACCUUGGACAUCACUUCUUGUAAGCUCACAAACCACACAAGUUGUAUUCUUUAUAUUUCUGGUGUAAUGUAAUUCGAUAUGUUUCUUGGAAUGAACUUUUCAUACUGUGACAGGGCCUUGUUUUGUGGAGAGAUUGUCAGAAACAACUUCAGCUGAGGAAUUCGCUUCUAUUUAGGUAUUAGAUGCUGUCGAUGUUCUGUUAUGUUCUCACUACUGUAAGUGGUAAACAUAUUAAUUUCUACUCCAGGCACAAGGCCCAAAAUUGAGGGGGAGGGGGCAGACGAUUAGAUGGACCCUUGUAUGCAACUGGUUCUUAAUUUUUCGACUCUAAAAAGAUGUAAGUCAAAGUCGACCUCGGGGAAUUUGAAGUGGUAAACAUAUUGCUAAACCUAUGAUAAUCAUCGGAUGGUGUUGUUGAUGUCCUCUUCAUGAUGACAUAAGCCGAGGUCCGAUACACAGGAUCUGAGUCUCGGAGACACAAAUUACUUAUGCAUAAUUCAUCUUUUCCAUUCAGGUUAGACUCGCGGACGUGGUUUCUGAGCACACAUAAAUUCCACUCUUCAUGUUAGUUAACCUCUCUAUCUAGCACAUCGGCCAAAAAGAUUACAUUAAUUCUAGCUCAAGCACUUCGUUCUCCACCGAUUCAAGCGUAACUCCAUUAAAGCUCACCUAAAACUCUCAGCCACCAACAACUAUUCAAAUAUACCAUAUUCUGCAGUUAGGGCAUAUAAUCAAAUUUAUCAUGCAACAACGAACUCGUCCAUCAGAAGAUGCCGCCUUAUUUGCUGUUUGUUGGCUUAUACGCCUCGGUGACCCUGAGAGCUAUGCAAGCGAAGAGCAACCUCUUGGUAGAGUCUCCAUUACUGGGGAGGUCAAAGAGAAGAGAUCAGACCUAUAUGGGUCACCUCUUCUCAGAAGUGAAGAACAGACAGGAAGUUUGAGAAAGUAUUGAUGACAAUACAGAACUAACAAGAUCUGGGAGAGGAAAUGACAGCUCUAAGUCGAGAAGAAAAGUGAGAAACCGUUGAUGGUCUAUGCCCCACAGGGAGUGAAGGAUUAAGUAAAGUAAGUGAUGAGUUUACAGUUCUCUCCACUCCCACACUCGUCCUAAAUUUAGCCAAUCCUGGAGUAAUAAUAUCUUUCGCAAUUAUCAUUUCUCUUAUAGUUUCGUCCUCAACCUCGUGUCAUGCAUCACCCAUAUACAGACACUUUAAACGUUGCGGAUCUGUUUCUCACGACAGGACCAUAAAUGUAUUUGCACUUAUCAGCUCAUCUGGACGUUGGCUUGUCGUCCGUCUCUUGCUCACACAUUAACAGCACUCCACAGAAAGUGGGUUUGCAUGUUUGAUUGUGUGUAGAUCUUAUGUGUUAUAGACUGCCCUGUUAUGCUACAAAUAUGUACCAACAUAUGUGUCUGUAAUCAACUUUUUAGCUAUGAACACACACACACACACACACACACACACACAAACAAACAAGAAAAAUUGUAGGAGAUUUCGAAUCCGGGGCUAGUCGGGGCUUCAGGCGUUCUUUCUAAACUAGCUACUCUCGGCUUCAGAUCUAGUCUACGACAAAGAGCGAGGCUUAUCCGUCCUGAAAUAUAACUAAAACACAAGGACGAUUGCUAAGAGGUUCACUGAUAACUGCAUUUAGCAGCAGUAUGCAUCCAUGUCUGCCCAUAUUGGUACAUUGCGCAUGUGCAUCUUUAUGUGCGUCUGUGUCUUUGAGUAUAAAUGCGUGUGCGUCUGUAUAGACUUCGGCAGGGUCGAUUGAUUACGGAGCACGCUCCUCAAUCACGAUGCAUCUUAUUCAGUCCCACAGUGACGUAUCAGGCUCAAUAGACUUUUAACAGAGUCUUUGGUGAAUCAAAGUCCCUCUCUUUCUCUUCCUCUUUUACUAGUUUCAGUCAUUUGGCUGCGGCCAUGCGGGAGCACAGCCUUUAGUCGAGCAAAUCGACUUAUCUUUUGUAAGCCUAGUACUUAUUCUAUCGGUUUCUUUUGCCGAACCGCAAAGUUACGGGGACGUAAACACACCAAGCGAUGUUGGGGGUAUAAACACAGACACGCAAACAUGUACGCACACAUACAUAUAUAAUUUGCUAUUUUAUAAUUUUUAUAUUUUAUAUUUUAUAUUUUUUAAAAAUUAAUUUUAUUUCUAUGUAUUGACUUAUGAUUUUCACUGUUUGAUUUGCUUAAUAGUGGUUUUAUCUCCAAUUUAAUAUAAUAUGAUAUAAUAUAUAUAGAGAGAGAGUGAGAGAGAGAUUUAUAUAUAUAUAUAUAUGUAUACAUACAUGUAUAUACGACAGGCUUCUUUCAGUUUCCGUCUACCAAAUCCACUGACAAGGCUUUGGUAGGCCCGAGGCUAUAGUAGAAGGCACUUGCCCAAGGUGCCACGCAGUGGGACUGAACCCGGAUCAUGUGCUUGGUAAGCAAGCUACUUACCACACAGCCACUCCUACGCUUAUUGUCAACCUCGACUGGAUAUGAAUGAAAUAAAGUAGACAGGGUCGACACAGGCCAUCUCAAGCAUUAUCUCACAGUAACUCAGAAUAGGUAUGAAUUUUAAGUUAAGAUAUCAGGCGUGCACGUGUGUUUACUUGUGUGUGCAUUUUCUUAUGUGUUAUAGACACAAAUCUGUACCAACAUAUGUGUGUGAUCGUCUUUUUAGUUAUAAGCUCACACAUACACACACACACACACGUACUCACAAACAGAAACAAACUCGCACACCUGUAUAUCUGCAUAAAUGAAUAUAUAUCCUUAUCCACCAACCCAGUGUAUGGCUGCACAAUUACUAAUAUUCCUGUAUCUUCGUAAGGAGGAGAAAUGGCGAAAUAGCAACAACGCUGGAUAAACUGCUUAACGGCAUUUCCUCCGACUUCGCGUUCUGAGGUUGACUUUGUUUUCAUCUUUUUGGGUCGACAAAAUAAGUACCAGUUGAGGACUGCAGUCGAUAUAAUCGACAUGCUCAGUCCCCAGAAAGUGCUGGCUUUAAGCCAAAAUUUGAAAUCAAUGAGACAUGUAAUGUAAACAUUGAAAGCUCGUCACCGUCUUUCACACGGAAUGUUUUGGUCCUCCAAAGUCAUCUCGGUGAAUAAAUCGACCUAUCUUUUUCCGCUGUAAAGAUUGUGUCUGAAAAUUUCGAUUUGUAUGGCGAAAAAUACGGUACUAAUAUUUACCUACAUGAAAUUGGAAGUACGUAUGUCCGAAUAUGCGCAAGUAUGCUUCGUCAUGUGUAAAUAUUCUUAUCUCUCUCUCUCUCUCUCUCUCUAUCUAUCUAUCUAUCUAUCUGUCUAUCUAUUUAUCUAUCUAUCUAUCUAUCUAUCUGUCGUCAAUACAUAUAAUACAUAUUAACAUCUACGAGGCUAUACCCAAAAGAAAGCGGAAUUUUGCAGUUUUAUUCUGUUCUCUUAAUUUUACAUGUUCACACUUUUAUUGCCUUCAAAAUAUUCUCCAUAUGAAGCACUGCAUUGAUCCACAUGGACUUUCCCCCGUUCGAAGAAGUCCUGGAACUCUUGCGAAGUGAUGCCUUUUAACGUCGUUUUUCCUUCACUUCUUCCACAUCUGCAAACCGUUUUCCUUCAAUGACUCUUUUCAUUCGGGGAACAAAAAAUGUCGCAGGUGAAUAGGGUGGGUUUGUAAGCGAGGUUUUGCAAUUUUUGGUCAAAAACUGUCUCGCACUGAAGGCGGUAGGCGCAGGCGCGUUGUCGUGAUGCGGCCACCACUCUCCACUUUGCCACAGGCCCGGGGGAGGGGCUUUCGUCUCACCACGUCUCGUAAAUGUUUCAGAACUGUCAAGUUAAAUGUCUGCUUAGCAGUUUGACCAGGAGGAACAAAUUCGCUGUGGACAAUUCCUUUCGCAUCGAUGAAACAAACCAGUAUCUUCUUGAUAUAGGGCAUCCCUUGAUGCGGUUUUUUUUUGUGGGGAGGGGUUUUGGCAUGGUGACAUUUCAUGCUUCCAUUGACUUCAUUGCUGCUUCGCUUCCAGGUCGUAUCCGUCGUACCACCUUUCGUCACCAGUAAUGAUCUUUGAAUAAAGGUCCGGAUCAAUUAACAACUAGUUGCAGUUGCGUAUACCACGCCAUCAAAGUAACGAUCAGACCAUCGGAUGUUGUUUUAUAUCGCGUUUCACUUUGUUUUAGUUGACCAAUGAUGAGAAUGAUGACCGUGCUGAUUACCACGCUGGUUGUGUAAGUAGGUCAAACUCCCCUCCUCCGAUCGAAAGACUAUUUCGUUGCAGGGUUACCCAUAUACAGUCGUGUGGACGGAUGCAUUGUGAAUGAUGUUUCGUUCAAGAACACAACACACAGCUUGGGAAUCGAAACCACGUUCUAGCGGUCGUGAGUGUAGGACACUAGCCGCUGGGCCACGCUACUCCGCAAUUGAGUAUAUAUAAUAUAUAUAGAUAUAUAUACACAUACAUACAUACAUACAUACAUAUAUAUAUAUAUAUAUAUAUAUAUAUAUAUAUAUAUAUAUUAAAAUGUAUAUAUAUAUAUAUUUAUAUUUAUAUAUACAUAUAUAUGCGUGUGUGUGAUUGAUGGGAAAAUAUGAAUUUUUUGUAUUGUUUUCCAUUUUGCUUUAAUCUUUUAAUCAUCUUUACAUGUCAUACUCUUCUACUGUUCCCCCUCUCCUCCUCUUCCUCCUCCCAUCAUCAUAAUCGUCAUCGUCGCCGUCGUCAUCGUUGCCGCCGACAUCACAAUCAGUUAAGAUGGACACGACCGAUCGCAGCUAUUUAGUUGACUCGUUCGUCCUCGUUGGUCAAAUAUUGGUCAGACAGUAACUAGCAAAAAAAAAAAGAAAAAAAAAGAAAACGAAAUAAAACCAAAAAAAAAGACAAGCAAAAAAACGAGAAAAAGCGAAUUACUUGACCAUUGACCCUUACAUCACGUCAUAUUUCACUGUCUGCUUAAACACUACACUUUGUCAUAUCCACUCAUCAAAGAAUCCCCCGACAGAAACAAAAAUGAAAACAAACACCACCACCGCUGCCGCAGUCAACGACAACACUAACAACAACAAGUAGUUCUCAGUGAAAUAAAUAAAAGAAAAAACGAAUGUAAAACACAAACAAAACACACGCAACCAAUCGUUAAAUACAAUGUAUUACACAGUAAACGGAUAUUCUUUGAUAUCGCAAAUUGAUUUGAUUAAAAGUAUCGAAUAUUGAUGCAAUCGAUAGAAAAUAUCGUCUGAUUCAACUAGAGUAUUGUCUGUAGAGUCUGCGAUGCGUUCUGAAGUUUUCACCAAGUUCCAGUCCCUGCGAGGUACCGUUUCCAUAUUAUUUGUGACUGUCGAUAAAGUGAAUGCAUUAUCAGAAAGCGAGCAAAAUUACGUGAAUGAAAUAUUGCUCACAUUAAUUAAUAAGUUGAUAUUUAAGCAAUUACGUACAGAAAUAUCUAAAUAUACUUAUGUAGAUAUACGCCCGUACAUACUGGCUUUAUUCUUAUAUACACAUACAAACACACAAGCACACACACAGUCGCAUUUCUAUACAUAUGUAUAUGAUAUAACACACACACACACGCAUACACACACACAUACACAUAUAUAUAUAUAUAUAUAUAUAUAUAUAUAUAUAUAUAUAUAUAUAUAUAUAUAUAUAUAUAUAUAUACAUUGCUAGAUAAGCAAAAUAAUUGAUAUUCAGAUGAAUUAGGUACUUAAUUUGAGGCACCAAAAAUUGGUGCGGAAUUAUCCGUACAGUUUCAAAUAAGGUGAAUAAAAUCAAAAUAAGCAACAAGAUAUCCAGAGGUGAUGCAGUACGAUCGUUUCAAGCGACUCCAUUUAACUGAAUAAUGCAAUCAUUACACCAAUUAAAAACGCAGAGCUAUCCCUAGCAGCAUAAACAAAUAAAUAUAUAAAUAGAAUUUAUUUAAUCAGUCGGACAUAUUUGUAUCAUUUUACCUAAAUACUCUAAGAGGGUAAGAAGACGGACAAGGUCCAUGCUGUAUUCACUUCAGCUUAGAUUGAUGUAAUGAUUGCAUUGUUCAGUUAAAUGGAGUCGCUUGAAACGAUCGUACUGCAUUACCUCUGGAUAUCCUGUUACAUUGAUAGAUAGUUAUAUGUAAGCACUUAGAAAAGGGUGCAUGGCUCAUCAAUGAAAAGCUACAUUUGAAAACAUAUUCGUGCAAAUAAUCUUGAGGAGGCUUUUAUCACUCCUAUUUAAUGAAAUCCACCGUUAGCAUCAAUGGCUGCUGGAAUACGGGGUCGGAAGCGUUGAAAUGUCCGAAUCAGGUGACCUUUAUCAAUUCAGGACAUAAUGCUGGUUACGGCGUACUUGAGUAGCUGUAUGGUGUUUUGAGCGGGGCGCUGAUCGUCUUCUGUCUCGUCUACGCCCCAUACAUAAUGGUCUAGUGGUUUGAGGUCUGGUGAGCAAGGAGGUUUGUGUUUGGAUGUACAAAAUCAAAGAGAUUAGCACGCAUUCCCGUUCUAGCCUAAUGAGACAGCGCAGAGUCUUGCUGAACGAAGUUCGGUGUUUGUUCUCUGUCUAUUCAGGUUCUUUCAACUUUUUCUAACAUCUCUAUGAAGACAGCGACAUUGACUCUUGAAGCUUGUGAAAAUAAUCAGGAGGCAUGGCAUCUCUCUCGUUGUUGACGACACCCAGAACCAUCUCAGCUGCUGGGAACCUAGCAUGCAUAAACAAUGGAACCUCAUUCGGAUCUCUGUAAAACCAUUUCUUGUUCCUUCAGUUUAUAUUUCGGUACUAUCGAAGUUUUCCACAGAGAAAACCAAAGCAUUCCAGUCUUUUGGUGUUUUAACUUGUUUAGUAAACUUUUUGAACAGCUACAGUGAAUAUUUCUUGUGACAAACUACUCCUCCGCAUCACAUACGAUUUGUACUGGAUGUCCUCAUGUAUAACACUUCUGAAGAUGCAUCCUGAAACAUUGAGGUCCUUUGUAAUGGUUCUGAUUCACUUUCCGUAUAUAUAUGUCUAUACACAUAGGGGAUGGUAGUCUUACGUAUCCGAGAAAGACUGUUUUGCACUUUUUGCUGAACAACGCACACAAAUGAGUUGUUCAAAGUGUUGAAAUCCAUGUGCCAUACAAAUGAUCACAAUCUCCAUCCAAUCGACGUUCCCUGAAUAGAUGAACGAUCCGCCACACAUCGGAUUUGAAAAUAAUUGCAGGGCAACUUGGGAUGAAAUUUGUUCUAAGAACACAACACACCAAGCGGUCCAGGAUUUGGAACAUUCCAACCAUCACACCAUGAGCCCUACACACACACACGCGCGUACAUGUAUACAAUACGAAUGUUGGCAUAAUGCAUACGUAUGUAUGUGUGUGUGAGUGUAGUUGUGUGCUUAUUUAAGACCUUGUGUCCAUUGCUACGCAGACGCAGUGUUUCCGACUCGAUGCCUCGACUCAGGUGACCGACGGGUGGGUCUGGUCCGGAAAUCACUUCAUUAUUGACCAACCACUUGGUCACAACAUGAAACUUGCUUUGAUAUUAAUAUAACAUGAUGAGUUUUAGGAAUCAACCGAUAGUUCACUCGGUAAUCUCAUUAACCCCUGGAGCUUGAUAAAAAGCUAACAAACUAUUUUAAUCUCUUUGAAAUAUAUUUACUAGAUUCAACACAACUGUCCGAAAUAUUUUUGAAAAAUUAAUGCUUUUACACACUUUGAUCUAAACGCAGUCCCAUCUUCUGGAAAAGCUAUAUGGAUAUCAAAGUAAUGCUGUAUCAUUUAGUAUGAAACCUAAAUGUCUGUGUUAGACUUCAAUAUGAUUGUUUGUGAGAUCCUAGUCACGGACGGUUAUAUUUUACUCAACCCAUGAAGGGAAAAUUGAAUAUUUUCACCAGAUCGUUGCUCAUGAGGUUUGCUGAGAGCAUAGAAAUGGCUGUGUCAUUUGAUUUAUUUAUAUUCUGUUGAUGAAAGAAGCAACAAAGGGUUCAUCCGGCGGGAAAAAAUGCAAGAGCAUCAACUGUAUAAUAUGAUUCACACACACACACAUACACAUACACCCAUGUACCCGCCAAUACGCACACACACAUACGCGCACAUCUUCAUUAAUAUUUUACGGUAUCAUAAACUCAAAUUUGUGAUGUCUUUAUUUUUAUAAUGAUUAACAGAAAUGAAACAAACAAAACUAUGACUAAUGUAAGCAGCAAUCACACGAAUGAAUAAAAGAGCUGCUGCGAAUAAAUCAUCUUUAUAUAUUUCAUGAUGUAAUCCAGAUUACAGCGGUUCAGCGGACAAUGGCCAUAAUUUUUCUAGCGUUUUUCCUGGUAUUAAAAACUUAGACUACAGACUUCAAUUUUCCACAGAUACUGCUAUGGAACGGCAAACGACUGAGAAAGCAUUUGAAUGUGGCUUGGCAAUGCUCUAGAAGCCAAUGAAUAGGAACUUUGUCUAAUCUGCUAAAGGAGCAAAUGGAUAAAAUCAUUAAAAUUCUAUUUGGAUCAACAACUUCAGCGCCAUGAACAAGGAAAUGUUAUCGUCCUCAUGUAAAUAUUCCCAGGAUGGUCAAUUAUUCAAUUCUCUUUGAAAAGGGAAGAAAAUGGCAAUGUGUUUACGGACGAAUAUGUUAACUUUAAAUGCUAAAACAUAGGCAAAACAUGUAGAGACUUGGAUGUCUCUAUGUGUCUUUAAUCUGGUCUUUCCCUUUUGUCUUUUCGGAGACGAUUUGGAGAGUAGAGACUGAGUAUUAGUGAAAACUUUCAUUUGAGACAGUUUUUAUCCGUUUGUGCGAUAAGGCAAUGCUAAACAAUUUCUAGAUUGAUAAUACUAAUAGAUUUGAAAAUAUUAUUGGAAAUCUAUUAAAAGUUGUAAUAGAAUAUCUCUCGUGAUAAAUUAUUUCCGCCUUUUAAUGAAACCCUACAUAGAGUGAGAACUGAGUGCAAAGUUUAAAACAAUGUGCGCAUAUAUAUAUAUAUUGGCCUGACCCCUUGGCCAGCGGGGUGGCGUCAUUUGAAGGCUAAAACAGUGCGAAGCACAUUGUGACCAGUGGUGUGUAACAACAUCUGAUAGUCUGGUCGGUCACGUGAUCACGUGAUAUAUAUAUACAUAUCUGUGUGUGCGUGCGUGUGUGUGUAUGUGUGUGUGUGUCUGUGAGUGUGUGUAUGCAUAUAAAGCGAAUGCAAGCUACGCAUCUCUGGAGAGUUCACAAUGCAAUUAGAUUAUGCAAUUUGCAUUAUAUGUGGAAUAACCAUUCUUCGGUGAUGAAAUGCACGUCAGACGAUGGAACGAAAUAUCUGUAAACAUACGUUCUCUUCGUCUCUCUCUCACUCGCUCUCUCUCUCUCAGUCAACCUAUAUAAUAUAUAUGCAUAUAUCUUACGGCAUUCCGUCUGUUACAACGACGAGGGUUCUAGUUGAUCCGAUCAACGGAAUAGCCUGCUCGUAAAAUUAAAGUGCACGUGCUGAGCGUGUACCCUUCUGGUGGUGAUUCAGUGUGACAAAGCAUGUGACAAGGCUGGUCCUUUGAAAUACAAGUAAAAUAGAAACAGGAAGAAAGAGUGAGAGAAAAUUGUGGUAAAAGAGAACAGCAGGAUUCGCCACCACCUCCUGCUGGAAUCUCGUGGAGCUAUAAGUGUUUUCGACCCCUGCGGGAGAAUGGCGUCCUCUUCAGUGCGUGUGUAUUGAUGUCGGUCACUUACAAUCCGAGGGAACUGGUUAGAUGAGCCUAAUAGGUCUUACGAUUCGAGAAAGCAAUAUGAAAAGAUUGCUGAUGACAGGUGGCUGUGUGGU
rnacentral:lncRNA from 1 species